GGAGAGGUGGCAGAGUGGUCGAUUGCGCUUGACUUGAAAUCAAGUGUGGCAGCAAUGUCACCGUGGGUUCAAAUCCCACCCUCUCCG
rnacentral:tRNA from 2 species